rnacentral:rRNA from 1 species
AGCAGUCGCCGCGGUAAAACGGAGGGUGCAAGCGUUAAUCGGAAUUACUGGGCGUAAAGCGCACGCAGGCGGUCUGUCAAGUCGGAUGUGAAAUCCCCGGGCUCAACCUGGGAACUGCAUUCGAAACUGGCAGGCUAGAGUCUUGUAGAGGGGGGUAGAAUUCCAGGUGUAGCGGUGAAAUGCGUAGAGAUCUGGAGGAAUACCGGUGGCGAAGGCGGCCCCCUGGACAAAGACUGACGCUCAGGUGCGAAAGCGUGGGGAGCAAACAGGAUUAGAUACCCCCGUAGUUCCUGUCUCUUAUAC